AGAACUUGUGAAUCUUCAGGCAGAAAAGAUGAAAACACCUGUUCAAAGUUCCAGUUUCCUGAACAUCGAACCAUGCCUGUAUGGGACUCUGUUCCACAUGUCUUCAGUCAGUUCUGGACCUUAUGACUCAGACACUAGUUCUACCAAGGCUUAUUAGAGUUUGCUUCAAGAAGUGGCUUCAGCAGACAGAAAUGCAGGCUAGAUUGGGAAAGGCUGGACGCUACACAACGGGAAACAU